rnacentral:rRNA from 1 species
UACGUAGGGUGCAAGCGUUGUCCGGAAUUAUUGGGCGUAAAGAGCUCGUAGGUGGUCUGUCGCGUCGGCUGUGAAAUCCCGAGGCUCAACCUCGGGACUGCAGUUGAUACGGGCAGACUAGAGUUCGGUAGGGGAGACUGGAAUUCCUGGUGUAGCGGUGGAAUGCGCAGAUAUCAGGAGGAACACCGGUGGCGAAGGCGGGUCUCUGGGCCGAAACUGACACUGAGGAGCGAAAGCGUGGGGAGCAAACAGG